AUGGAACAUACAUAUCAAUAUGCAUGGGUAAUUCCUAUUCUCCCACUUCCAGUUAUUAUGUCAAUGGGAUUUGGUCUUAUUCUUAUUCCGACAGCAACAAAAAAUCUUCAUCGCAUAAGGGAUUUCCCUAGUGUUUUACUCUUAAGUAUAGCUAUGGCAUUCUCAGUUCAACUGUCUAUUCAACAAAUAAAUGGAAGUUCGAUCUAUCAAUAUCUAUGGUCUUGGACCAUCAAUAAUGAUUUUUCAUUAGAAUUUGGAUACUUGAUUGACCCACUUACUUCUAUUAUGUUAAUACUAAUUACUACUGGAAUCCUGGUACUUAUUUAUAGUGAUGGUUAUAUGUCUCAGGAUGAAGGAUAUUUGAGAUUUUUUGUUUAUAUAAGUUUUUUCAAUACUUCCAUGUUGGGAUUGGUUACUAGCUCCAAUUUGAUACAAAAAAUUUUUGCGAACUCGUGGGAAUGUGUUCUUAUUUAUUGA
rnacentral:rRNA from 1 species